rnacentral:rRNA from 1 species
AUUGAACGCUGGCGGCGGGCCUAACACAUGCAAGUCGAGCGGAGCGGCGGACGGGUGAGUAAUGCCUAGGUAGCUGCCCGGUAGUGGGGGAUAGCAUCAGGAAACGGGAGCUGAUACCGUAUACUAUCAGAUGAGCCUUGGUCGGAUUAGCUAGUUGGUGGGGUAAGGGCCUACAAAGGCGACGAACCGUAACUGGCCUGAGAGGAUGAUCAGUCACACUGGAACUGAGACACGGUCCAGACUCCUACGGGAGGCAGCAGUGGGGAAUAUUGCACAAUGGGCGAAAGCCUGAUCCAGCAAUGCCGCGUGAGUGAAGAAGGUCUUCGGAUUGUAAAGCACUUUAAGUUGGGAGGCGUUACCAACAGAAUAAGCACCGGCUAACUUCGUGCCAGCAGCCGCGGUAAUAC